rnacentral:rRNA from 1 species
UGGCUUAGAAGCAGCCAUCCUUCAAAGAAAGCGUAAUAGCUCACUGAUCGAGUCUUUCUGCGCGGAAGAUGUAACGGGGCUAAGUCAAUAACCGAAGCCGCGGAUUCACACUUGUGUGUGAGUGGUAGGGGAGCGUUCUGUAAGCCUGCGAAGGUGACUCGUAAGGGUUGCUGGAGGUAUCAGAAGUGCGAAUGCUGACAUGAGUAACGUUAAAGCGGGUGAAAAGCCCGCUCGCCGUAAGCCCAAGGUUUCCUGCUCUACGUUCAUCGGAGCAGGGUGAGUCGGCCCCUAAGGUGAGGCUGAGAAGCGUAACUGAUGGGAACAAGGUUAAUAUUCCUUGACCACCGCUGAAUGCGAAGGGGGGACGGAGUAUUGAAGAUCAUCCGGGUGUUGGAUAUCCCGGUUUGCGAGCGUAGGAGGCUGACAGGCAAAUCCGUCAGCGAAUCUCCGAGGCAAAGCAUCGAGCUCUCUUUUGAGCGAAGUGAUUGGAUGUGCUUCCAGGAAAAGCCUCUAAGCUCCAGUUCAGCGGGACCGUACCGCAAACCGACACUGGUGGGCGAGCUGAAUAUGCUCAGGCGCUUGAGAGAACUCAGGAGAAGGAACUCGGCAAAUUGACACCGUAACUUCGGGAUAAGGUGUGCCUUUGUAGCGUGGAGGGAGAAACACCCCGAGCGCGAAGAGGUCUCAGAUAAUCGGUGGCUGCGACUGUUUAUUAAAAACACAGCACUCUGCAAAGACGAAAGUCGACGUAUAGGGUGUGAUGCCUGCCCGGUGCUGGAAGAUUAAUUGAUGGGGUGCAAGCUCCUGAUCGAAGUCCCAGUAAACGGCGGCCGUAACUAUAACGGUCCUAAGGUAGCGAAAUUCCUUGUCGGGCAAGUUCCGACCUGCACGAAUGGCAUAACGAUGGCCACACUGUCUCCUCCUGAGACUCAGUGAAGUUGAAGUGUUUGUGAUGAUGCAAUCUCCCCGCGGCUAGACGGAAAGACCCCAUGAACCUUUACUGUAGCUUUGCAUUGGACUUUGAACCGAUCUGUGUAGGAUAGGCGGGAGCCUGUGAAACCACAACGCCAGUUGUGGCGGAGGCGUCCUUGAAAUACCGCCCUGAUUUGUUUGAGGUUCUAACCUGGGACAGUCAUCCUGUCCGGGGACCGUGCAUGGUAGGCAGUUUGACUGGGGCGGUCUCCUCCUAAAGGGUAACGGAGGAGUGCGAAGGUACGCUAGGUACGGUCGGAAAUCGUGCUGAUAGUGCAAUGGCAAAAGCGUGCUUGACUGCGAGACCCACAAGUCGAGCAGAUACGAAAGUAGGUCAUAGUGAUCCGGUGGCUCUGUAUGGAAGGGCCAUCGCUCAACGGAUAAAAGGUACUCUGGGGAUAACAGGCUGAUACCGCCCAAGAGUUCAUAUCGACGGCGGUGUUUGGCACCUCGAUGUCGGCUCAUCUCAUCCUGGGGCUGUAGCCGGUCCCAAGGGUAUGGCUGUUCGCCAUUUAAAGAGGUACGUGAGCUGGGUUUAAAACGUCGUGAGACAGUUUUGUCCCUAUCUGCCGUGGGCGCUGGAAGAUUGACGGGGGCUGCUCCUAGUACGAGAGGACCGGAGUGGACUCACCUCUGGUGUACCGGUUGUCACGCCAGUGGCAUCGCCGGGUAGCUAUGUGGGGAAGAGAUAACCGCUGAAAGCAUCUAAGCGGGAAACUUGCCUGAAGAUAAGUCUUCCUGGAGGCUAGACCUCCCUAAAGAGUCGUUCGAGACCAGGACGUUGAUAGGAUGGGUGUGUAAGUGCUGUGAGGCACUCAGCUAACCAUUACUAAUUGCUCGUGAAGCUUGAUCC